UACGUAGGGGGCAAGCGUUGUCCGGAUUUAUUGGGCGUAAAGAGCUCGUAGGCGGUUUGUCGCGUCUGCUGUGAAAUUUCGGGGCUCAACCCCGAACUUGCAGUGGGUACGGGCAGACUAGAGUGUGGUAGGGGAGACUGGAAUUCCUGGUGUAGCGGUGGAAUGCGCAGAUAUCAGGAGGAACACCGGUGGCGAAGGCGGGUCUCUGGGCAGUAACUGACGCUGAGGAGCGAAAGCGUGGGGAGCGAACAGG
rnacentral:rRNA from 1 species